GUCACAACAGAGAAGCCACUGGUGUCUUUAGUGUCUGUGUACUGCGGUUUCAAAAUGACACGACCACAGAAGAAAACAUCCAGUUCUACAUUAAAUCGGGUGUGUUAAUGUGUGCAUCACAGGCAGCAGGUUGAUAAAGAUCUUGAACAUCUUGGUGCUAAUCACAGGUUUCAAGCAGCAACCUGCUCUCUCAUUGGCCUGGUUCACAUUACACACUUGCAUGCCUGUCGUGUGUGCGGUUUCAGUUUCUUUUCUGCAACAACAGAAAUGCUAC